rnacentral:tRNA from 1 species
GCCCCGGUAGCUCAAUUGGAUAGAGCGUCUGGCUUCGAACCAGGAGGUUAGAAGUUCGAGUCUUCUCCGGGGUA